UAGCAUAUCAAUAAGCGGAGGAAAAGAAACCAACCGGGAUUGCCUUAGUAACGGCGAGUGAAGCGGCAAAAGCUCAAAUUUGAAAUCUGGCGUCUUCGACGUCCGAGUUGUAAUUUGAAGAAGGCAACUUUGUAGCUGGUCCUUGUCUAUGUUCCUUGGAACAGGACGUCAUAGAGGGUGAGAAUCCCGUGUGGCGAGGAUCCCAGUUAUUUGUAAAGUGCUUUCGACGAGUCGAGUUGUUUGGGAAUGCAGCUCUAAGUGGGUGGUAAAUUCCAUCUAAAGCUAAAUAUUGGCGAGAGACCGAUAGCGAACAAGUACAGUGAUGGAAAGAUGAAAAGAACUUUGAAAAGAGAGUGAAAAAGUACGUGAAAUUGUUGAAAGGGAAGGGCAUUUGAUCAGACAUGGCGUUUGCUUCGGCUUUCGCUGGGCCAGCAUCAGUUUUAGCGGUUGGAUAAAUCCUCGGGAAUGUGGCUCUGCUUCGGUAGAGUGUUAUAGCCCGUGGGAAUACAGCCAGCUGGGACUGAGGAUUGCGACUUUUGUCAAGGAUGCUGGCGUAAUGGUUAAAUGCCGCCCGUCUUGAAACACGGACCAAGGAGUCUAACGUCUAUGCGAGUGUUUGGGUGUAAAACCCGUACGCGUAAUGAAAGUGAACGUAGGUGAGGGCCCGCAAGGGUGCAUCAUCGACCGAUCCUGAUGUCUUCGGAUGGAUUUGAGUAAGAGCAUAGCUGUUGGGACCCGAAAGAUGGUGAACUAUGCCUGAAUAGGGUGAAGCCAGAGGAAACUCUGGUGGAGGCUCGUAGCGGUUCUGACGUGCAAAUCGAUCGUCGAAUUUGGGUAUAGGGGCGAAAGACUAAUCGAACCAUCUAGUAGCUGGUUCCUGCCGAA
rnacentral:rRNA from 1 species